GACCGCUCUGGUGGCCCAGUGGUUAGAGCAUCCACCUCAGAUGCGGGAGGUCAUGGGUUCAAUCCCCGGUCAAGUCA